CCUACGGGGGGCAGCAGUGAUGAAUAUUGGUCAAUGGACGCGAGUCUGAACCAGCCAAGCCGCGUGAAGGAUGACGGCACUAUGUGUUGUAAACUUCUUUUGUAAGAGGAUAAACGCAGGUACGCGUACCUGUCUGAAUGUACCGUAAGAAUAAGGAUCGGCUAACUCCGUGCCAGCAGCCGCGGUAAUACGGAGGAUUCAAGCGUUAUCCGGAUUUAUUGGGUUUAAAGGGUGCGUAGGCGGUCGGUUAAGUCAGGGGUGAAAGCCCGAGGCUCAACCUCGGCAUUGCAGUUGAUACUGGCAGUCUAGAGAUUAGGUGCGGUAGGCGGAAUGCGUGGUGUAGCGGUGAAAUGCUUAGAGAUCACACAGAACUCCGAUUGCGAAGGCAGCUUACCAAGCUACCUCUGACGUUGAGGCACGAAAGCGUGGGGAUCAAACAGGAUUAGAUACCCGAGUAGUC
rnacentral:rRNA from 1 species